UCUACAUAUUAACGAGAAAAGGUUUACACCAACAGAUGGUCAUAACUAGAGAAGUAGAUGAUUUUGACCAAAAAAAAGAGAAGUAGAUGAUAUACGUACUUAAUAAAUAACAUAGAUUAUAGAUCGCGCUAUCCUUUGAUGCAUGUCUCGUAUAUUUACAUGAAGAUGCUCUCCUUAUUAGCCGCACAAACAGUCGCCAAACUCCACUUGUCUUUCACGUUCUCUAUUACAACUUGCAUCUUUGUUUAUUUUUAUUAUUAUUUUUAUUUUAUACUUUCUCCGUUUUAGAUUACUUAUC
rnacentral:lncRNA from 1 species